rnacentral:lncRNA from 1 species
AUGAAUACACCAAAUGUUUCUGACUCCAGCAACAGAAACACGUGGAAUACAGGCAACGAUUUUGGCUCCACAAGAACAGAAAUGUCUGAUACACCUGAUAUUUCUGGCUUCACUCGAGGAGCAAUGUGGAGUACAUACAACAUUUCUGGCUCCAGAGGAAUAGAAUCACAGCACACACACAAUGUUUCUGGCAACAGAGGAACAGAAGUAUUGGAAGGUCAGCACGAGGACACUGAUCCCAGCAAGAUGACUGCACAAAGCAGCAGACAUACAUCUGACACCUCACAGAAGCCAUCAGCCUAUGAAGACCAGACUUCCAACGUGAAGGAAAUGCCUGAAAUAAUGGACGAGAUCAUCAAUAAAUACAAAAAGGAAACGUUGCAAAUGAUGGAAGAGGUGAACAAUAAACAAAAAGAGGAAAUAUUUGAAAUGAUGAAAGAAAUGGACAACAAGAACACAAAGGAAAGAGAUGAAUUCCUGAAAGCAAUGGACAACAAAAUAAUAUGGAAAAACGAUGAGAUCAGAAGUUUCUUUGACACUAUUUAUACUCACCUUCUGGAUUGUCACAACAGAGCACUUCCUGGAAGGGCAAUCCAAAUACAUGAGGAGAAAGAGGAAAAUAAGAUGCUGAAAGAGAAGAUCAAAAAACUAGAGGCAAGAAUCCAAGAGCUCUUGGCUAAAGCAAUAGUCAUGCACCAACACUCUGAGGACAUCAAUGACCCUUCACGUUUGUCUGCUGUGCUGGACAGAUAUGAGCUGCUCCGGCUACGGGAAUGGGAAAAAGUCAGGAGCUCCAUGUCCCACCGUUGGACAUAUAAAGAAGGCAGCCGUGCCAUUAAGAAGCUGUUUGAUGCCUGUGAGAAAGAUAUACAACAGAGAACAGAUGCCAUAAUUAAAGGUUUUGACAUUCCACAAGAGAAUAAUACUUUGACCAAGGUGAUGAUGCAAGACAUAAUGAAGCUGCUCAGGCAACGCUAUCGCGAAAAUUCAGCACUUUACAAGAUUGUUCAAGAAGCUGCCAUUAACACAGGAAGUGGAAAUGAAACACAGUUCUUGCUGCAGUGCUGCCAAAUUUAUUGUUUGCUGCUUCUUCAGGACCCACCAGUUAAAGCUGACUGGAAGAUGGACAUACAGUAUUUAGAGCACGUGGACAGGAAAGAUGCUGUGUAUUGGAAAAAAACAUCAUUUCUGUGGCCCAUAAUGAAAUGCGGGGAAAAAAUUAUUGUGAAAGGUGUAGUCUGGGAUUAA